rnacentral:misc_RNA from 1 species
CCCAUUUGUGAACACUACCCCAUUGCCGCGCGUUGCCUCGGCGGUGAGGUUCGCGGGGGGGGGGGCGCCUGCGCUCCGGCGCUCCCCCCUCCCCCCGGGCCCCCGCCGGCCGCGCCUUACUCUUAAUUUGCAAAGCGGACUGUACGAUCUGAUUAAUCUUGAUAAACAAGUCAAAACUUUCAACAACGGAUCUCUUGGUUCUGGCAUCGAUGAAGAACGCAGCGAAAUGCGAUAAGUAAUGUGAAUUGCAGAAUUCAGUGAAUCAUCGAAUCUUUGAACGCACAUUGCGCCCGGCAGCAAUCUGCCGGGCAUGCCUGUCCGAGCGUCAUUUCUCCCCUCGAGCGCGGUUCGGCCCCUAGCGGGCCGGCCGCCGCCCGGUGUUGGGGCACUGCGGGCCACAGCGCCCGCAGGCCCUUAAAUGAAGUGGCGGUCCCGCCGCGGCGCCCCCUGCGUAGUAGUAAAGCACCUCGCAUCGGGUCCCGGCGGAAGACCAGCCGUCGAACCUAUCUCUUGAUGGUUUGACCUCGGA